UACGUAGGGUGCAAGCGUUAAUCGGAAUUACUGGGCGUAAAAGCGUGCGCAGGCGGUUGUGCAAGACAGAGGUGAAAAUCCCCGGGCUUAACCUGGGAAUGGCCUUUGUGACUGCACGGCUAGAGUGUGUCAGAGGGGGGGUAGAAUUCCACGUGUAGCAGUGAAAUGCGUAGAGAUGUGGAGGAAUACCGAUGGCGAAGGCAGCCCCCCUGGGAUAACACUGACGCUCAUGCACGAAAGCGUGGGGAGCAAACAGG
rnacentral:rRNA from 1 species